UUGUGUUUACCACCUUUCAGGCAAUGCUCGAGGCGGUUGUUGGAAGCCCCGUGAUUCGAAAGCAAGGAGUAUCGGUCUCAGUCGGCUGCUAGACGUGAUCUCGGACAGAGGUCAAAUUGCCAGCCUCCCAAAAUUAGGCCUACCCACGUCGUGCUGGUGGACCCGGACCCCAGACCUGAACAGAGGUCGGACCGCAUUCUUCUCCAAGGAUACACAGAAUAUUGCAUAAAGAUUCCAUGAGUCACGUGCCGUCUCUCUGCCGCAAGUGUGCAUUAACCCACGUGAAUGAAAACCAGCUUGAAUUGAAUGAGACUAUAAGCCCCAACGUGGGGGCCCAUAUCAUUUAACUUUUCUCCAGGCCAGCACGGGCCUUUGUGUAAAUAAAUAGUUUUAAAGUAA